UGGCCCAAAUGCCCAAACCCUUACUUACUACUUAGGCUUACGGUUUCAUUCCUGUUUUAUUUUUCAUCACAUUUGCAAUCUCUCUGCGACCUCUGCCUCACUCACGCUCUAGGGUUUCAUUUCUUCUUCUUUUAUUUUUCAAUUUUCACAUCUGCGAUCUGUCUGCCUUACUCACGCUCAUCGGUUUAAAGUCCGCCUCAGCUUCUCUCAGUCUCUGUCAUUAUUCACAAUCUUUGAUCAAUUGUGGUUGAUUCUUGGUGAAAACUCUGUAUUCAAAGUCUAUUUUUACUGAAAGCUCAGUAUUCAUGGUCGAUUUUGCUGAAAACUGAAGAGAUCCAAGGCGAUUUUUGUUUUUGCUCUCAACAGUCAACAAAACUUGGCAAAUCCAACUGCUUUGCUUUUGAGUUCUGUCUCUAUGCUUCGUCAUCUGGAGCUUCAUGAUAAAGCUGAUCGCAUUCAGGAUGCCAUCCUAAAAACAAUUGCAGAGGGAAAGUAUCGAACAGGUGUCCUUGGAGGUACCGCAUCAACAACUGAGUUCACGAAUUCCAUCUGCGAUCGUCUUUGAACUUGUUGGUCCAUGUGUAUAUUAUAUUUUGCAAUGGGUUCAACUAAGGGGCUUUCAAAGAUGCAAUUGAAAUUAUUUUAUUGCUUUUGGCGACCUAACUAUAUUUCGUUGGGUUUUAUAGAAGUUCGCAUAAUGAUAUCAGAAUUCAUUCUCAAAGGAAAUGGAAUAGCAUCAACCAGUAAUGGGUGGCUUCCAUGUUAAUUUGCAAGGAAUAAGAGUUUCAUUCUAUAGUGUUCUUGUUGGUUCAAUUCAUGAUAUUCUUGCUUAUAUCAUUAUAGUAUUUCAAUUUUCUUUUCCUCAAGUAUCUACAGAGCAAUGGCAGAUCUUUGUUGGUAUUCUUAUAUUGUAGGAGUUAUGUUGAACUUGGUGGGUUUUCAGGACUUCCAGUGGAUUGUUUGAUAAA